rnacentral:rRNA from 1 species
GACGAACGCUGGCGGCGUGCUUAACACAUGCAAGUCGAACGGAAAGGCCCUGCUUUUGUGGCGUGCUCGAGUGGCGAACGGGUGAGUAACACGUGAGUAACCUGCCCCUGUCUUUGGGAUAACUUCAGGAAACUGGGGCUCAUACCGGGUAGGAGCUCCUUAUGCAUGGUGUUGGUGGGAAAGUUUCGGCGGUUGGUGAUGGACUCGCGGCUUAUCAGCUUGUUGGUGGGGUGGUGGCUUACCAAGGCUUUGACGGGUAGCCGGCCUGAGAGGGUGACCGGCCACAUUGGGACUGGGAUAGGGCCAAGACUCCAACGGGAGGAAGCAGUGGGGAAUAUUGCAAAAUGGGCGGAAGCCGGAUGCAGCAACGCCGCGUCGGGGAUGACGGCCUUCGGGUUGUAACCCGCUUUAGCCUGUAACGAAGCGUGAGUGACGGUAAUGGGUAAAGAAGCACCGGCUAACUACGUG